rnacentral:tRNA from 1 species
GGAGAAGUGGCCGAGUUGGCUGAAGGCGCACGCCUGCUAAGCGUGUAUACGGUGUAGAGCCGUAUCGAGGGUUCAAAUCCCUCCUUCUCCGCCA